AGUGAACGCUGGCGGUAGGCCUAACACAUGCAAGUCGAACGGCAGCACAGUAAGAGCUUGCUCUUACGGGUGGCGAGUGGCGGACGGGUGAGGAAUACAUCGGAAUCUACUUUUUCGUGGGGGAUAACGUAGGGAAACUUACGCUAAUACCGCAUACGACCUACGGGUGAAAGCAGGGGACCUUCGGGCCUUGCGCGAUUGAAUGAGCCGAUGUCGGAUUAGCUAGUUGGCGGGGUAAAGGCCCACCAAGGCGACGAUCCGUAGCUGGUCUGAGAGGAUGAUCAGCCACACUGGAACUGAGACACGGUCCAGACUCCUACGGGAGGCAGCAGUGGGGAAUAUUGGACAAUGGGCGCAAGCCUGAUCCAGCCAUACCGCGUGGGUGAGGAAGGCCUUCGGGUUGUAAAGCCCUUUUGUUGGGAAAGAAAUCCAGCCGGCUAAUACCUGGUUGGGAUGACGGUACCCAAAGAAUAAGCACCGGCUAACUUCGUGCCAGCCGCCGCCGUAAUAC
rnacentral:rRNA from 1 species